UAAUUGAAGAGUUUGAUCAUGGCUCAGAUUGAACGCUGGCGGCAGGCCUAACACAUGCAAGUCGAGCGGUAACAGGGGAAGCUUGCUUCUCGCUGACGAGCGGCGGACGGGUGAGUAAUGUAUGGGGAUCUGCCCGAUAGAGGGGGAUAACUACUGGAAACGGUAGCUAAUACCGCAUAAUCUCUCAGGAGCAAAGCAGGGGAACUUCGGUCCUUGCGCUAUCGGAUGAACCCAUAUGGGAUUAGCUAGUAGGUGAGGUAAUGGCUCACCUAGGCGACGAUCCCUAGCUGGUCUGAGAGGAUGAUCAGCCACACUGGGACUGAGACACGGCCCAGACUCCUACGGGAGGCAGCAGUGGGGAAUAUUGCACAAUGGGCGCAAGCCUGAUGCAGCCAUGCCGCGUGUAUGAAGAAGGCCCUAGGGUUGUAAAGUACUUUCAGUCGGGAGGAAGGCGUUGAUGCUAAUAUCA
rnacentral:rRNA from 1 species